UACGAAGGGGGCUAGCGUUGCUCGGAAUUACUGGGCGUAAAGGGCGCGUAGGCGGAUAUUUAAGUUAGAGGUGAAAGCCCAGGGCUCAACCCUGGAAUAGCCUUUAAUACUGGAUAUCUUGAGUUCGGGAGAGGUCAGUUGGAAUUCCGAGUGUAGAGGUGAAAUUCGUAGAUAUUCGGAAGAACACCAGUGGCGAAGGCGGCUGACUGGACAUGUAUUGACGCUGAGGAGCGAAAAGCGGUGGGGAGC
rnacentral:rRNA from 1 species